CACACACUCAGACUAUAGUGUCAAUUCCCGUACCACAGAAUGAUCAAAAAGGAGGGAGAGUAAAGGUUAGAGGGAGAACUCCAGGACACCUUCUGGAGCAGAGAGCAGGAUGAGUGAAUAGAGGUUUAGGGAGGUAACAGAUCUUGCCCAAAGGCAAAUGCUGUCAAGUGAGCUGAUGGAGCUGGCAUUUGGUCUGUGGACCCAUUCUGGUUUCCCGGGCUAUACUCAGAAGAGAGAAAUUUGGACACAAGGAUACAGACACAGAGGGAGGACGGCCAUGCGAAGACAGAGGCAGAGAUUGAAAUUAUGCUUCCGCAAGCCAAGGAACACCACGGACUCUGGGAACCACCAGAAGAAGCUGGAAGGGACAAGGAAGGAUUCUUCCCUAGAGCCUUCGGAGACAGCAUGGGCGUGCUGACACCCUGGUUUCAGAUUUCUAGCCUCCAGGACUGUGAGAGAAUAAAUUUCUGUUAUUUUAAGCCACCA
rnacentral:lncRNA from 1 species